AGUUCACGCCGUAAACGAUAUCGACUUGGAGGUUGUGCCCUUGAGGCGUGGCUUCCGGAAGCUAACGCGUUAAGUCGACCGCCUGGGGAGUACGGCCGCAAGGUUAAAACUCAAAUGAAUUGACGGGGGGCCGCACAAGCGGUGGAGCAUGUGGUUUAAUUCGAUGCAACGCGAAGAACCUUACCUACUCUUGACAUCCAGAGAACUUUCCAGAGAUGGAUUGGUGCCUUCGGGAACUCUGAGACAGGUGCUGCAUGGCUGUCGUCAGCUCGUGUUGUGAAAUGUUGGGUUAAGUCCCGCAACGAGCGCAACCCUUAUCCUUUGUUGCCAGCGGUUCGGCCGGGAACUCAAAGGAGACUGCCAGUGAUAAACUGGAGGAAGGUGGGGAUGACGUCAAGUCAUCAUGGCCCUUACGAGUAGGGCUACACACGUGCUACAAUGGCGCAUACAAAGAGAAGCGACCUCGCGAGAGCAAGCGGACCUCAUAAAGUGCGUCGUAGUCCGGAUUGGAGUCUGCAACUCGACUCCAUGAAGUCGGAAUCGCUAGUAAUCGUAGAUCAGAAUGCUACGGUGAAUACGUUCCCGGGCCUUGUACACACCGCCCGUCACACCAUGGGAGUGGGUUGCAAAAGAAGUAGGUAGCUUAACCUUCGGGAGGCGCUACCACUUUUGGAUAAAGGGC
rnacentral:rRNA from 1 species